rnacentral:rRNA from 1 species
CCUACGUGAGGCUGCAGUGAGGAAUAUUGGUCAAUGGGCGGGAGCCUGAACCAGCAACGCCGCGUGAGGGAAGAAGGUACAGCGUAUCGUAAACCUCUUUUGUCAGGGAACAAAUGCGGGGACUAGUCCCCGGAUGAGGGUACCUGAACACAAAGCAUCGGCUAACACCGUGCCAGCAGCAGCGGUAAUACGGAGGAUGCGAGCGUUAUCCGGAUUUCUUGGGUUUAAAGGGUGAGCAGGCGGCCUGUUAAGUCAGCGGUAAAAGCCCGGGGUUAAACCCAGGCGAGCCGUUGAAACUGGCGGGCUGGAGUUGGAGAGAAGUACGCGGAAUGCGCGGUGUAGCGGUGUAAUGCGUAGAUAUCGCGCAGAACCCCGAUUGCGAAGGCAGCGUACCGGCUCCACACUGACGCUGAGGCACGAAAGCGUGGGUAUCGAACAGGAUUAGAUACCCUUGUAGUC